CACGGGGGGAGCAAGCGUUGUUCGGAAUCACUGGGCGUAAAGGGCGUGUAGGCGGUCAGGUAAGUGGGAUGUGAAAUGCCUCGGCUCACCCGAGGCACUGCAUUCCAAACUGCUUGGCUUGAGUAUGGGAGAGGAUGAGGGAAUUCCUGGUGUAGCGGUGAAAUGCGUAGAUAUCAGGAGGAACACCUGUGGUGUAGACGGCUUUCUGGACAAUUACUGACGCUGAGACACGAAAGCGUGGGGAGCAAACAGG
rnacentral:rRNA from 1 species